rnacentral:lncRNA from 1 species
CUGCGGGUCUCCACAACAUGUGGCGACACGUGAUUAGUUGAUAUAUUUUUUUUUAUCUAAAAAGAAAAAAAAUAAUACUUAAAAAAUUAAAAUAUACCUUUUUUAAAAAAAAUUCUUUGGAUAACAUCAUUGCAGGUGCUCUAACAUCCCUACAUGUGUCUGUCAGAGGACAUCACGUCCAUGUGUACCUCAUGCGAAUUGGAUCUAGACUGUGCAUGACACGUGAACUGAAAACAAUAGAAACAAUACCCAGCCUUUUCAAGUUACGGAAAAUCAAAGACGGUCAUCAUUUUCUAGCUCUCUUC